AUUGAACGCUGGCGGCAUGCUUUACACAUGCAAGUCGAACGGUAACAGGCCGCAAGGUGCUGACGAGUGGCGAACGGGUGAGUAAUGCAUCGGAACGUGCCCAGUCGUGGGGGAUAACGCAGCGAAAGCUGCGCUAAUACCGCAUACGAUCUAUGGAUGAAAGCGGGGGACCGUAAGGCCUCGCGCGAUUGGAGCGGCCGAUGUCAGAUUAGGUAGUUGGUGGGGUAAAGGCUCACCAAGCCAACGAUCUGUAGCUGGUCUGAGAGGACGACCAGCCACACUGGGACUGAGACACGGCCCAGACUCCUACGGGAGGCAGCAGUGGGGAAUUUUGGACAAUGGGCGCAAGCCUGAUCCAGCAAUGCCGCGUGCAGGAAGAAGGCCUUCGGUUGUAACUAGCUUUGUACGG
rnacentral:rRNA from 1 species